rnacentral:rRNA from 1 species
CCUACGGUGAGCAGCAGUGAGGAAUAUUGGUCAAUGGGCGGAAGCCUGAACCAGCCAAGUAGCGUGCAGGAUGACGGCCCUACGGGUUGUAAACUGCUUUUAUACGGGAAUAACGCGCCUUACGUGUAGGGCUUUGCAUGUACCGUAUGAAUAAGGACCGGCUAAUUCCGUGCCAGCAGCCGCGGUAAUACGGAGGAUGCGAGCGUUAUCCGGAUUUAUUGGGUUUAAAGGGUGCGUAGGCGGACGCUUAAGUCAGCGGUAAAAUUGCGGGGCUCAACCUCGUCGAGCCGUUGAAACUGGGUGCCUUGAGUGGGCGAGAAGUACGCGGAAUGCGUGGUGUAGCGGUGAAAUGCAUAGAUAUCACGCAGAACUCCGAUUGCGAAGGCAGCGUACCGGCGCCCAACUGACGCUGAAGCACGAAGGCGUGGGUAUCGAACAGGAUUAGAUACCCUGGUAGUC